rnacentral:rRNA from 1 species
GUAGGUGGCAAGCGUUGUCCGGAAUUAUUGGGCGUAAAGCGCGCGCAGGCGGUCCUUUAAGUCUGAUGUGAAAGCCCACGGCUCAACCGUGGAGGGUCAUUGGAAACUGGGGGACUUGAGUACAGAAGAGGAAAGCGGAAUUCCAAGUGUAGCGGUGAAAUGCGUAGAGACUUGGAGGAACACCAGUGGCGAAGGCGGCUUUCUGGUCUGUAACUGACGCUGAGGCGCGAAAGCGUGGGGAGCAAACAGGGAUUAGAUACCCUGGUAGUCCACGCCGUAAACGAUGAGUGCUAAGUGUUAGGGGGGUUUCCCGCCCCCUUAGUGCUGCAGCUAACGCAUUAAGCACUCCGCCUGGGGAGUACGGCCCGCAAGGCUG